UUCUACUUACAAAGCAAUCGUUUUAAUGGCAUUAAUAACUACAUUUCCAUUCAUCUUCAGGCUUUGGGUUUGCAAGCCUAGGACUGCAUCAAAUCAGAGCAGUGGACACCUUAUAUUUUUAAUCAUCCACAAACCAAGGUCCUCAGCUACAGAACAAAUACCAUCGCUAUAAAUGCUUCAGAAAGGACACUGAAUUAAGCCACAGCUAUCCCUACUUGGAACAUUCUGACUAUUUGAGGGCAUCAAGCUCUGAAAGCAUGGCAUAGAAAACUAAACUCUUCAUCAGGAUCACGUAUUCCAGCGGUCAUCUUAUACAGGCAAUUCACAAUGUGAAAUGGGUUGUGCUCCGGCAAAGAAGGGAAACCAUCCACCUCUUUCCUCUGAGAAAGUAAAGAAAGAACAAAACAGUUCCCCAUCUUCAGCCCAGGGGAGGUAUGGUGCAAACAACCUUAUGAGAGAGCGAUGGUCAAUCACACCCAUUUAGCAGAAGACUUGGACGUGGAAAGCUAAAGUGCCUUGCACAAAUUCGGGCUGAGGACCACACCCACGGGGGCCACCCUGGUCCGCCUGACCCCAAAGCCCGUGCUCUUGUGCGUUGCGUUCUCCGCCCCACCACUGACCUCUGCUUCCAACGCCCGACACUGCCGGGGAGCUUCGGGUCUGGGAAGCAGGUAAAUGCUCAACCCAACGGAAUACCGGCAGGGCCGCCCGCCGGGAUGCUGGAUACAGGAGGCAGCUCCCGGGGAGCAGGGACUCACCU